AGUGAACGCUGGCGGUAGGCCUAACACAUGCAAGUCGAACGGCAGCACAGUAAGAGCUUGCUCUUACGGGUGGCGAGUGGCGGACGGGUGAGGAAUACAUCGGAAUCUACUUUUUCGUGGGGGAUAACGUAGGGAAACUUACGCUAAUACCGCAUACGACCUACGGGUGAAAGCAGGGGAUCUUCGGACCUUGCGCGAUUGAAUGAGCCGAUGUCGGAUUAGCUAGUUGGCGGGGUAAAGGCCCACCAAGGCGACGAUCCGUAGCUGGUCUGAGAGGAUGAUCAGCCACACUGGAACUGAGACACGGUCCAGACUCCUACGGGAGGCAGCAGUGGGGAAUAUUGGACAAUGGGCGCAAGCCUGAUCCAGCCAUACCGCGUGGGUGAAGAAGGCCUUCGGGUUGUAAAGCCCUUUUGUUGGGAAAGAAAAGCGGCAGGUUAACACCCCGCUGUUCUGACGGUACCCAAAGAAUAAGCACCGGCUAACUUCGUG
rnacentral:rRNA from 1 species